ensembl:snRNA U6 U6 spliceosomal RNA
GUGCUCACAUUGGCAGCACAUAUACUAAAAUUGGAAUGAUACAGAGAUUAGCAUGCAUUCUGAGCAAGGAUGAUAUACAAAUUGGUGAAGCACUCCAUACUUUU